rnacentral:rRNA from 1 species
GACGAACGCUGGCGGCGUGCUUAACACAUGCAAGUCGAACGGAAAGGCCCUGCUUUUGUGGGGUGCUCGAGUGGCGAACGGGUGAGUAACACGUGAGUAACCGGCCCUUGACUUUGGGAUAACUUCAGGAAACUGGGGCUAAUACAGGAUAGGAGCUGCUGCUGCAGGGUGGGGGGUGGAAAGUCUCGGCGGGUGGGGAUGGACGGGCGGCUGAUGAGCUUGUUGGUGGGGUAGUUGCUGACCAAGCCUGUGACGGGUAGCCGGCCUGGGAGGGGGAACGGGCCCAAUGCGCCUGCGGUAGGGCCCAGACUCGUACGGGCGGCAACAGUGGGAAGUAUUGCCCAGUGGGCGGACGCCUGAUACAGAAACGCCGCGUGCGGAAUGACGGCCUUCGGGUUGUGAACAGCUUUCGCCUGUGACGCAGCGGGAGUGACGGUAAUGAGUAAAGAAGCACCGGCUAACUACGUG